AUUGAACGCUGGCGGCAGGCUUAACACAUGCAAGUCGAGCGAGCGGCGGACGGGUGAGUAAUGUCUGGGAAACUGCCUGAUGGAGGGGGAUAACUACUGGAAACGGUAGCUAAUACCGCAUACCAUCAGAUGUGCCCAGAUGGGAUUAGCUAGUAGGUGGGGUAAGGGCUCACUUGGGCGACGCUCCCUAGCUGGUCUGAGAGGAUGACCAGCCACCCUGGAAUUGGGCAACGGGCCAGACUCCGACGGGAGGCAGCAGUGGGGAAUGUUGCAAAAUGGGCGCAAGCCUGAUGCAGCCAUGCCGGGUGUGUGAAGAAGGCCUUCGGGUUGUAAAGCACUUUCAGCGAGGAGGCGUUACUCGCAGAAGAAGCACCGGCUAACUCCGUGCCAGCAGCCGCGGUAAUUC
rnacentral:rRNA from 1 species